UAGGAAGGGGGCUAGCGAUGUUCGGAAUUACUGGGCGUAAAGCGCACGUAGGCGGAUUUGUUAGUCAGGGGUGAAAUCCCGGGGCUCAACCUCGGAACUGCCUUUGAUACUGCAAGUCUCGAGUCCGGAAGAGGUGAGUGGAAUUCCUAGUGUAGAGGUGAAAUUCGUAGAUAUUAGGAAGAACACCAGUGGCGAAGGCGGCUCACUGGUCCGGUACUGACGCUGAGGUGCGAAAGCGUGGGGAGCAAACAGG
rnacentral:rRNA from 1 species